CCUACCUAUUACAAGGAAACUUCCAUUGAAAACCUUUGUCUUUCUGGUUUUGUCAGAGCACUUGCACCAAUAUCUUGUGUUGUUUGCAAUGGCUUCAUUCACCUUCUCCAAGGCCUAAUGCAGCAGGAAUGUUUUGUGCUUUCAGGACAAAGCAAACCAGGGGACAGCUGCUCCAUGAUCCCUUGUUGGGACUUGGGUAACAAUUAAGUUACACUGAACCUCAAAGCAGGAAGGUGGGAGAAGAUAUGGACAUACAGGAUUUUACUUGAGGUACCUCAAGAGGCAAUGGACACUUGAACACCACUGUGGACCUUUGCUUUUAUGAUUGAUUUAUUUUUAAAACUCAAGUUAGUAUCACAUCAUUAUCACUACCUUAUCCACAAAAACUUGAAAAAAAAAGGGAUAUACUUUCGUGAUCAAAAGGAAAAUAGUCUGCUCUAUUUUUAAACCAAAUUUCCAGAAGCAAGAUAAGGUCCUGGAACUGCAUGACAUAAUUAAAAAGAUUUAGUAAGAAUUAAACCAAACCUAAAAUCCUGGCUCUUCGAUGUGCGGAAGUCACUUACUGCAGGGACCUAAAAUGAUGAUCCUGUAACACCUUUCUACAACACAUUCACACAAUCCGUAUUUUGGGGAGUAGAAAAGAAGAGCUGUGGAAUGAAGCACUAGAGGUUUUCAUAAGGAGAUAGCUCAUUACCCGUUUUCCACAUCUCACAUGUUGUUUACUGGCAUUUUGUGUUAUUUGGGCUAACAAGCCUGACAUUUGUGCCCAUGCAAAUCCCUACUGUGGCCUUUGAACAUUCAAUAUUCAGUAUGUCCUUCCUCUGCUAUUACAAUUGUUUAGAAAUGUGCUGGCUUUAUUUUUUUUUUCAAGAAAAGCUGGAACUGCAUCUGAACAAGAUUGUUGCCAAUGCUCAUCUAGGCAGUGGAAUCAUUGGCAGAGCUGAGAUCAAGCUGCAGAAACAUGAUGAUAGAUCUGGUUUAUGCCUUAAAUAUGAUACUUGCUUUUUUGGCCACCAUUUCAUAUAUUGCCCAAUUUUCAGAUAGUAAAUCAACAACUGCCAGAGACGAUAAACACUCAGGGCUGAAAAGUUGCCAGUUUGCUGGAUAGUGAAGUUGGUUGGUGCUGUAAAUGCUGAAGGUAGGGCUGGCAUCUGUUUGUGGUGUAGCUUGAGUAUCUGGAAUGGACACAAAAGUCUUGCUGGGGUGCUGGGCAGCAGAGCAGCAAGCACAGCUCUGAAACACUUUCUGUCAGGUUACACCUCUUUCUCUGAGAAAGUCCUGCGGGUCCAGGUUAUGGUGCCACAGGCUUCAGAACAUAUAAUGUGUAAUUGUUUCAGAACUCCCAGCCUAUGUCUCUGAUCCAGGCAGGAAACAAACAGCAGCACUGUACAGCAGGAACAGCAACUACUGCAUCACACAUCUGUAAGUCAUGCACAGGCAUGGGGUGUGUCAGCCACGGAAGGUUUCUAGAUAGCUGUGCUUUCCUCAAGCACCCAGUUCUCAACACAAGGUCUCAAAUAAGCACUAGGAUGAAGUCAAAAGUAACUUUGGCAGCUGAAGGCAUCAAAUGCCCAAUUACAGAGCUAGUCAAACCCUUACUGACCCUUUUACAGAGUAGCACCUUGAAGGCUUAUGAAUGAAAAGCUUUAUGCACACCAACAAUUCUGGAAAGGUCUCGGAUUGCAUUAAAGCACAAUUCAGGAGAAAACCUCAUACUAUACACCUAACACAGAAACACAGGAAUUUCAGAAAAUUAUUUCGAAAACUCCUAAAGAUUAGUCUGAGAAUGAUUCUAAAUUUUACAAAUAUGUAUUUGUAUCUAAGCAAGUUACUCAAAGAAAUAUUUCAUUAUGAAAACAUCAGUGUAGCUUUUUUGUGUUUUCCUAACAGCUGCCAGCAUCCAGCCUUUGUUCCCGAAAGACAAUGCUGCCCUCUUCUGGUAUCCUUGAUUACACACAACGUUUCAGAUAAAAUUCUCCAGCAAGGUAAAAAAGCAUUUUUUAAGGAUGUGCUACUUUUGACUGUUUUUGAUAAAAACAAGCUAAAACAACCGAAGUGUCACAAAAAACCAACUUAGUUUUGUAGGUUGUUAAUCUAAAAAGGGCUCUACUGUUAAGGAAUUACUGAAAGUGAAUCGUAGAGAAUUUGUUAGAUGUGGAGCAGAAUACAAAAGGAGUGCUUUACAGUGUUGUUUUUACCGACUACAGCACAAAAUCACACUCUGCAAUUUAGUAAAGGGAAAAACCAAAGGCCAAGAUAGGAAGGCUGGAAAGAUUUAAGGUAUUUAAAGUAGUUAAAACAGAGCACAAUCUCCUUACAAGCUAACAUAUACAAAGGCUAUGCAUUGUGCAGACCUGGUAAACGGCAGAAAUUAAAGAUUUUUUAAAGAGGAAUCAAAAUUUUCAGCUAAUUUUAUGUAGUUUAUAUAAAGCACUCUGUUUAUUUACCAAUAACUUCCCCAUACAAAUUAUCCAUCUCUCCUUUAGUCCUGCUCCUGUUCCAACCCUGAAAAAAAAAUGCUUUUUAAUCAGAGUCAAGAUAUGAAGCUUGUUUUAAUGGUUGUGUAGCUCUGCCUCAUGUGUAUAGUACUGACAUCACCCAUGGCAGGACAGACAGCAGUCUCUGGCUGACCUGUUGUCUAAAGGUAACCAUUCACUCAUUCAUGCUUGUGUGGUACAAGCCUGCCUUUAUACAGGUAAGAACAACAUGCCACCAUUGCUGUAAUAUACAAGCUAUUUAUCAUUCUCACACAGUGCUGUAGCACAGAAAAUGGAGCCCCGGUCUGAGUGGAAAAAGGUGGUGACUCAGGAAGCAGCAAGGGGAUCAAGGUGUGGGCCACCCUUGGCACUAGAGAUUCUAGAGCUAUGCACAGCUCUAGAACAGUCAGUCUUAAAAAUGUGCAGACCCAAAAUGUGAAACAAAAUACUGUAUUUAACGCAUGCAGAUUAUCACAUAUAGAUCACUUGAAUACAAGCUGGAGAGGCAGAACAACAAAUGAAGAUGCAAAAAUCACAUUAUCCAACAUAAAAAUUACUCCCAAAGUGAUCCCAGGAGGAUCAUCGUAAGAAGGAACCAUCAACAUGAACAAAAUAUUCUGCCCAUGAAACAUGUCAGAGGUGCAGAAUGCUGUGUUACCCUCUCUAGCUGCGGAUCUAAAACUCAAGGGAAACAAAGGGAGAUUGAGCAUAACUUCAAGAGGAGGAUUAGAAUUAAAGAGUAUGUGCUACGGUUCUAAUUGCAUUACUGUAUUAUAAAGAACCACAAUUUAACUCUUCAUAUUUAUUUGCCUGCAAGGAACAUUCUUCAGUUUGUGGAGAUUAUCCAUGGAACGCAUCCCUGGAAGCAGCAGAGAAGCAGGAAAUCCUAAAGAAUUAUUUUUCAGCCAGGAUAAACAGGCUACCAAAAUGGAAAGGAAAUGCUUUAAAACAAAACACACCACAUUUAGCAUGUACUGAUACCUAUUGUUUUGCUGUUUUCUCUUUAUGCUAAAAUCAUGGUUAGUCAUGACUGCAUGAAGUAACAGAAAACAAUGCAGUGCCUUUACUUCUUUCUAGCAUAUAAGUAUUUUGCAAAAUAUUGCAAGGUAUUACAUAUAUUCCUUGUUUGCAGUAGAAGAGCAUAGAGCUUUAAAAAGGAUGUGCAAGUUCCCUCUGCUCCUCUGACAAUUCUCUUAAAAGCAUCACAGAAUAUGAAGCAUGACAGAAAACUCAAGAAAGAAAAUGUUACCAUCAUGCUGAUAAGCACUGAUAAAUCAGCAUUAGAUUCUUGCUUCCAUACUGACCAUGAACAUGGUUAAAGCCUUGUGGAUAAACAAGCCAGCUUUACUUCAAGUAAUUCAACAAGUUGACAAGUACACUGUGAAGCUACAGAAGAGACAGGCAGUGAUCAAGCCAGUCAUCUAGAUUUGACUGAAGUUGUUUUACUAAAAUAUCUCAAAAUUAACACACGCCUUUAAAGCCUCACUGUUCCAGUUACACUCCAAUGACCUUCUCAGAACAAGUUUAUGGAAAACGCCUCAUACACGAUUCAAGUGUUGUCAAAGUAAGUAGCAGCUCAUUAAAGUGAAAUUCCGUAUAUACACCUCUAAGAACACAGAACACCACUCCUUUAUCUUUUAUGACUGAUUAGUAAAUCACAAAGCCUUCAGUUCUACUCAAUUACAUGAAUGAUGGAAGGAGACACUCUUGAGGACAUAUGGAUAAAUAUUUAAUGAGCUAAAAUAGCUUUAAUCAGAGCAUAGCACAUUUGAUUACAUUCUCUAUUUGUUUUCAAACUGACAGGCAAAGAUGCAUUUUAAAAAGUAGUUUAGAGAAAAAAAACAGAGGAUUAAAAAAAAAAAAAGACAAGUUGCCAGCACCUGAACAAGCAACAGAGUUCUCAGCCAAGCACAGCUGUUCAUGCUCACUGCAAUGAAAACUGCUCUUUUCAAGUUUUUUGGAGGUAGCUGCUCAGUUUUUCCUGAAUGAUACAGGAUUGAAAAUUCAUGUCUUUUGAAGACUGCACUGGUCUUGGGUCCUUGUCUAGACCAAACAAGUUAACCCCCACCUGAAGUUCCAAUUCAUCCCACCCUUCCUUACAGUGAUCACAAUUAUAACACUGCUCAUCAGCCUACCUGACCCACCUUGAAUCUUUCCUCUAACUGGCAAUAAAAUAAAGCUGCAUCAAGAAGGAGUUGCAGUAUGAAGUGUCUCAGUGAUUGCUUACCACCUUUGCAGUUCUUACCUCCAAGUUUUCCUUAUUUGUUUUGACCCAGAUAGCUGCUCAGAUGAGGAUUAAAAAAAAUAAAUUCAGUAUUUAGCAAAAAUAACAAAACAUGGGAAAGUUCUUUAGUAUAUAACUCUAGUUUCUGGGCUCUCCAGAGGAAACUCUUCACAUGAGUACUCCAAAAGUAGUGCUGGAAUUAAAAUAGCUUUCCCUGUGUCAUGAAUAUCAUAUCAUCUUUCAACCUUUGCAAAAACUCACAAUUUAGCAAGAAUGUAUACUUCUGAAAUUCAAGAAUAGCCUUUAUUAAGAGAUUACUGAUCUAAUUAUGGAACAACUGGUACCUGAAUUUCCAAGUAACUGAAAAUAUUUCCACAGAAACACAGAAAUUCAAGCAAGCAGAAACCACAAAAAACCAUUUUAUUGCAACAAUGUCCCCAUCAUCAAGUGAGAUGGCAAAAAUUAAAUUUUAAUUAAUUUUGCGUUUCUACCUUUUUAUUUAUGUAAAUAUAAAUUCAAGAGUGUAAAAUAAAUGCACAUAUAAAACACAGAGGAAACAUUCUUUCAGUGACUCCAAAAAAACUCACAUACUGAAGAUUCAUGACAAGUCAUCCACUGUCCAUUUUUCCAAGUAUACAGGCAUGAAAGAAUGCAGAAAUUUAUUCUCAAAAAGCAUCCUGUAUAAAGUCCUUGAAGUACUUAAGUAAUAUUUAGUCAUCUCAUUCUUGAACUCAUGGAUGUAGAUUCCAAGAAAAGAAGAGACAAA